AACGAACGCUGGCGGCAUGCCUAACACAUGCAAGUCGAACGAGACCUUCUGGUCUAGUGGCGCACGGGUGCGUAACGCGUUGGAACCUGCCCUUAGGUUCGGAAUAACUCCCCGAAAGGGGUGCUAAUACCGGAUAAUGUCUUCGGACCAAAGAUUUAUCGCCUUUGGAUGGGCCCGCGUUGGAUUAGCUAGUUGGUAGGGUAAAAGCCUACCAAGGCGACGAUCCAUAGCUGGUCUGAGAGGAUGAUCAGCCACACUGGGACUGAGACACGGCCCAGACUCCUACGGGAGGCAGCAGUGGGGAAUAUUGGACAAUGGGCGAAAGCCUGAUCCAGCAAUGCCGCGUGAGUGAUGAAGGCCUUAGGGUUGUAAAGCUCUUUUACCCGGGAUGAUAAUGACAGUACCGGGAGAAUAAGCUCCGGCUAACUCCGUG
rnacentral:rRNA from 1 species